rnacentral:rRNA from 1 species
UCGAGAAUUUUCCGCAAUGGGCGAAAGCCUGACGGAGCGACGCCGCGUGGAGGAUGAAGUUCUUCGGAACGUAAACUCCUUUUGCCAGGGAAGAAGUUAUUGACGGUACCUGGAGAAUAAGAAGUUGCUAAACUCGUGCCAGCAGCAGCGGUAAUACGAGUGCUUCAAGCGUUAUCCGGAAUCAUUGGGCGUAAAGGGUGUGUAGGCGGUUUUGUUAGUCUCCUGUAAAAUCUCUCGGCUUAACCGAGAG